CCUACGGGUGGCAGCAGUGGGGAAUAUUGCACAAUGGGGGAAACCCUGAUGCAGCGACGCCGCGUGGGUGACGAAGUAUUUCGGUAUGUAAAGCCCUAUCAGCAGGGAAGAAGAUGACAGUACCUGACCAAGAAGCCCCGGCUAACUACGUGCCAGCAGCCGCGGUCAUACGUAUGGGGCAAGCGUGAUCCGGCUUUACUGGGUGGAAAGGGAGCGUAGGUGGCAGGGCAAGCCAGAGGUGAAAACCCGGGGCUUAACCCCGCGGAUUGCUUUUGGGACUGUCAGGCUGGAGUGCAGGAGGGGCAGGCGGAAUUCCUGGUGAAGCGGUGAAAUGCGUAGAUAUCAGGAGGAACACCGGUGGCGAAGGCGGCCUGCUGGACUUUAACUGACACUGAGGCUCGAAAGCGUGGGGAGCAAACAGGAUUAGAUACCCGUGUAGUC
rnacentral:rRNA from 1 species